CGGCCGAGUAACCGAACCGAGAGGCUCGCCACUCUUCGACGUCGCGAAGCGUCAGUCAACGGAAGUUAGCCGCAGCAUCGCGAACGGUCCGGUUGGCCGCUGCAGCUACGGGGAAAGAGCCGAAGGGACGAUUAGAGAAAGAAAGGGGGGAAAAACGUGACUCGCUCUGCAUCCUCAGAAAGAAGAAAAAAGUAUUUUCGUCUAUUUUCGACCGUGAUCCCAUAAUUUUCUUGUGAAAAUACGAUCGGACGUUAACAAAACUCUAAAUAAAUAUGAUUUGACGAGAAUACAAAAAUUCUGAUAAAAACAAACAAGCUGAUGAAAAAAAUUAAUAGAAGAAAUCGGAAAAAAACUCUGUUUCGUUUAUUUUUCACUCUGUUAUUCUUCUCUCAUUCUACGUACUCUUUAUCCGUAACAAUAACGUCGCAUAAACGAAAACAGUGAGGGAUAACGAACAAAUAAAACAAGAGAAAAUAAAUUACCCACAAACGUUACGUACGUACGAAUGUUUGAAAAAUCAGUGAAAAUCCUGAAGUGAAAAAAAAUGACGGAGGACUCGGUGAUCGUCGAUCGUGCCAAUGUGGCGUCGAUGUUCGUUAAAAAUGGAACGUUCAACGAUACGAUCAACGAAACUGACUACGGUGAUUACGACGUUGAUUUUUCCUUCAACUAUUUCGACUGGGUCGAACUGGCACCUGCCCUCGUCGUCUACAGCCUCACCUUCUUCCUCGGCUUGGCCGGCAACGUGCUGAUCAUCGCAUCGACUCUUUGCCCUCGGCUGAGACCGUUGCCGGCAACACCGACAAACGUUUUCCUCGGCGGUUUAGCGACGGCUGAUUUGCUCCUGAUAAUCUUCUGCAUACCGGUGAAGAUUGCCAAGCUCUUCUCCUACACCUGGAGCAUGGGAAUGUUUCUCUGCAAAUCCGUUCACUACAUGCAGAGCGUUUCGGCCAUUUGCUCCGUCUUAACGUUGACCGCGAUGUCGAUAGAGAGAUACUACGCGAUCGUUCAUCCGAUGAGGGCUCAGUACACGUGCACGAUAAGUCAGGCCCGAAGAAUCGUAAUCAUGACUUGGAUAACGUCGUUUUUACUGGCGAUACCGAUACUCUUUACGCAGCGGCACGAAUCCGUCGGUCCCGGAUACCUCGGGGCGUUUUGGUGCGUACGUGACAGGAGAUCGGUAACGCUUUGGCAAAUUCACGAAGUGUACAUGCUACUGCUGGUCCUCGUUGUCCCCCUCAUUGUCAUGGCCUUCUGCUACACGGCUAUAUGCUGGGAGAUAUGGAGGGUAAUGAAGCGGCGUUACCACAUGACGUCCAGGCACGCACUCAGUCCCAGCCGUAAUUCGGCCACUGAAUGCAUUGCCUUGAAUGAUCGGCACCCCGGAAGUGGUAAAAACGGAAGACGGGGACGCCGGGAAGACGUCAGAACGGAGGAAGAAUCGCGGACCAUGAAACAGGUUGUCAAGAUGCUUGUGGCCGUAGUUGUUCUAUUUGGAAUUUGCUGGGGUCCGAUGUUGGUCGACAAUGUUUUGACAGCCUAUGGGAUUUUGCCCUGGGCUAAAAUCGGCCCCUACAGACACAGCAACGUCACCUUUCAGCUUAUGGCUUACUUCAACAGCUGCAUAAAUCCCAUCAUCUACGGAUUUAUGUCAAAGCACUUCAGGCAGAGUUUCCUCUCUGCGGCCUGCGGAAGCUGCUGCUGUUGUCCGCGGCGGAAUUACCGUUCGUCAGGUCGAGUCAAGAGGCAUCCGAGCCUGAGCCAGACAAGGACGACGAGCGUUCGGUGGCGUCAGCUCUCAAUCAGCAUGAUGAAGUUUCCUUUGACGAACGCCUCCAAAACCCGUACGGUUGUCGUGUAGAGCACAAAUGUAUAAUGUUACAUUAUCCUAUACCGAACAAUGCGAGAGAGAUAUUUAUUAUAAUAGGUGGACCUGAUUUUACCUGAUCCCUUGGAACUCGUCGAGGGAUAUAAUAAUAAGUUAAGAUGAAAAGUACUGCUGCAUCGUAAUAUAUUAUAUGUAUUCACUGAAAUUAAGAUUUAAUGUUGCACGCGGGUAUUUGUUCGUAAUUAUUUAAUUACUCGUUUCAUCAUUUUUUCGAUCUCUUUCACUCCAACUGUCUCUCUCUCUCUCUCUCUCUCUCUCUCUCUCUCUCUCUCUCUCUCGCUGUCUCCGUUUUCCACUCUAUUUCGCACUGCAUUCAUUGCAGGGGUUGAAUUGAAACUUCCGAUUCACCGCUUCGUCGGACAAUUCGCUUCUGUUCGAGAUAAAAAUUAAACGAGGAAAACAACGAAAUGCGAAGUAAAAAAAAUCGUCGUUCGCCCAUCGCGUUUUUCAAUUUGACCGCCUAACUCAAUCACCGCACGAGUGUCCUAGAUUUUCGUGAAAAAAACAAAAAUAAACAAAAUCGAAUUGGAAAAAGAGUGAAAGAAAAUCAGAGAAACAAAGACUGGAAGGAAAAUAACCGAAUUAUGAAAAAAAAAAAAAAGAAACAAUGACCAUCACAUUCUGUUUUCUCUCUUCCCAAAUUUUCACACGCAUAAUUUCCCCCUUUUCAAAUAAU